rnacentral:rRNA from 1 species
GACGUAGGGCGCGAGCGUUGUCCGGAUUUAUUGGGCGUAAAGAGCUCGUAGGCGGCUUGUCGCGUCGACCGUGAAAUCUCGGGGCUCAACCCCGAGCGGUCGUGGGAAACUGGUUGGCUAGAGUGCGGGAGAGGAGAGUGGAAUUCCUGGUGUAGCGGUGAAAUGCGCAGAUAUCAGGAAGAACACCCGUGGCGAAGGCGGCUCUCUGGAACGCAACUGACGCUGAGACGCGAAAGCGUGGGGAGCAAACAGG